rnacentral:rRNA from 1 species
GAUGAACGCUGGCGGCGUGCCUAAUACAUGCAAGUCGAGCGAAUGGAUUAAGAGCUUGCUCUUAUGAAGUUAGCGGCGGACGGGUGAGUAACACGUGGGUAACCUGCCCAUAAGACUGGGAUAACUCCGGGAAACCGGGGCUAAUACCGGAUAACAUUUUGAACCGCAUGGUUCGAAAUUGAAAGGCGGCUUCGGCUGUCACUUAUGGAUGGACCCGCGUCGCAUUAGCUAGUUGGUGAGGUAACGGCUCACCAAGGCAACGAUGCGUAGCCGACCUGAGGGGGUGAUCGGCCACACUGGGACUGAGACACGGCCCAGACUCCUACGGGAGGCGGCAGUAGGGAAUCUUCCGCAAUAGGCGAAAGUCUGACGGAGCAACGCCGCGUGAGUGAUGAAGGCUUUCGGGUCGUAAAACUCUGUUGUUAGGGAAGAACAAGUGCUAGUUGAAUAAGCUGGCACCUUGACGGUACCUAACCAGAAAGCCACGGCUAACUACGUGCCAGCCGCCGCCGUAA